AUAUAUAUAUAUACAUGAUGGGUUUCUGAGAAGUUCCUGGCAUUAAAGGUGUCGCGAAAGACCUGGUUGGAGCCCCAACCUUCUGAGUUCUUUCACAGGGCUUAGAAAAACUGAAGGCCCACUGCAAAUAAGUGUGUGAAUCUGAGAGGGGAAUAUGUUGAGUAA